GUUCAGAAUGUCCACUGACUACCCUUCUGUAUUGCACACCCUUUGAUUUGUCCAUUUUCAUCUCUCGCGUUUUUACAUACAUUUUUCAAACAUUCUAAUUUCAAUAGCUCCUUGGUCAUGUGAUCUACUGGACUUAAACAGGGUUCCCGAAUGCACAGAUAUACAUUGGGAGACGUCUCAGCACCUACUGAUGCUGAUGCUGCGUUCUGACACCAGUCACCCCUGUUGUGACUCAUACAGCUGGCAUGCCUUCAAAUGGGACAACUUCGGAAUCAUACAGCUGACAUGCCUUCAAAUGAGACAACUUCAGAAUCAUACAGCUGGCAUGCCUUCAAAUGGGACAACUUCGGAAUCAUACAGCUGGCAUGCCUUAAAAUGGGACAACUUCAGAAUCAUACAGCUGGCAUGCCUUAAAAUGGGACAACUUCAGACUCAAGGGAGAAGGGGUUGAUAUAGCAUUCUCCAUUUUAGCUGAUUGCCUCAAAUCUUAUCUUCUUCACCUUGGUGAAUGCUUUGUACUGCUUCUUUCUCCCAGAAAUGCCUUGAAUCAGGAACUGCUUUGUGCUGCCUUGUUCCUCGCAGUAUUUAGAAUGUUGUUUUAUAUUGAUGGCUGCCAAUCGGCAUUCAUGUUUAUCUCAUUUUCUUUUGCAUGUCGAGUUUGUGGUGUGCCUGAUUGUUAUGCUCAAGGGAAUGAUUCAUGUGAAUGAAUAUUAAUUGUGAAAUAUUUCCUUCACUAAUGUUCUUUGAGAAAUUACUUAAAUGAGUACUGAAAAAGUACAAUGUAUGUUUGAGUUAUUUAGCAGACACUCUUAGCCAGAGUGACUUACAGGAGCAAUUCAGGUUAAGUUCCUUGCUCAAGGGCACAUUGACAGAUUUUUCACCUAGUCUCAGGAUUUGAACCAGCAAAGUUCUUAACCGCUAGGCUACCUGCUGCAUUUGAAAUCAUUCCAUAAUUUUCUCUGAACACCUCAACUUACUGAAUAGACAUCUACAGUAUGCCAUCAGACUCAUUUCACCUGUUUAAAUUAAUGGAGGCAUAAUGCAAAUGAACAUUAUUUGAUUUUAUUUAACUUUGGUCAACAUAAACAUAUGAAUACAUUGCCACCAUGUUAAUUAUUAAACAGAGAAAUGCUUUAUUACCAGUGUUCCUGUUUUUAAUGUUAUAACCAGUACAUAUGUCAAUUCAACCUUCAUUUUUGCAUUGGUAACUUGGAAAACAAAGUAUGCACUUUUGAUCCC
ensembl:lncRNA